AUUGAACGCUGGCGGCAGGCCUAACACAUGCAAGUCGAGCGGAUGAAGGGAGCUUGCUCCUGGAUUCAGCGGCGGACGGGUGAGUAAUGCCUAGGAAUCUGCCUGGUAGUGGGGGAUAACGUCGGGAAACGGGCGCUAAUACCGCAUACGUCCGGGGGGGGAAAGGGGGGGAUCUUCGGACCUCACGCUAUCAGAUGAGCCUAGGUCGGAUUAGCUAGUUGGUGGGGUAAAGGCCUACCAAGGCGACGAUCCGUAACUGGUCUGAGAGGAUGAUCAGUCACACUGGAACUGAGACACGGUCCAGACUCCUACGGGAGGCAGCAGUGGGGAAUAUUGGACAAUGGGCGAAAGCCUGAUCCAGCCAUGCCGCGUGUGUGAAGAAGGUCUUCGGAUUGUAAAGCACUUUAAGUUGGGAGGAAGGGCAGUAAGUUAAUACCUUGCUGUUUUGACGUUACCAACAGAAUAAGCACCGGCUAACUUCGUG
rnacentral:rRNA from 1 species